rnacentral:rRNA from 1 species
ACCAGACUCCUACGGGAGGCAGCAGUGGGGAAUAUUGCACAAUGGGGGGAACCCUGAUGCAGCGACGCCGCGUGGGUGAGGAAGUACUUCGGUAUGUAAAGCCCUAUCAGCAGGGAAGAAAAUGACGGUACCUGACUAAGAAGCCCCGGCUAACUACGUGCCAGCAGCCGCGGUAAUACGGAGGAUGCGAGCGUUAUCCGGAUUUAUUGGGUUUAAAGGGUGCGUAGGCGGAAUGCCAGGUCAGCGGUAAAAUCGCGGGGCUCAACCUCGCUCCGCCGUUGAAACUGGCGUUCUUGAGUGGGCGAGAAGUAUGCGGAAUGCGUGGUGUAGCGGUGAAAUGCAUAGAUAUCACGCAGAACUCCGAUUGCGAAGGCAGCAUACCGGCGCCCGACUGACGCUGAAGCACGAAAGCGUGGGUAUCGAACAGGAUUAGAUACCCGUGUAGGC